rnacentral:lncRNA from 1 species
UUUUUUUUUAUCCUUUUCACAUUUUCUUUUUUACUUCAUAGUGCAUACACAAUCUUUUCUAAUGUUUUAGUAACAUUAUGUUAUCAUCUCUUUUCAUUACAGCGCAUUUUCCGUGUGUAACUGAUGACGAUUGUCCAAAACCUGUGAACAAGUUAAGAGUUAUCAAGUGCAUUGAUCACAUAUGUCAGUAUGCUCGUAAUCUCCCUGAUUUUGCGUCUGAGAUCUCAGAGAGUACAAAAAUGCCCUGCAAAGGAGAAUGAUUUAUUGUCCAAGAAGCUAAAAUAAUAAAUGUAAAAUAUACCUUAUGAUAGAAUAUUCCAAAAGAUGUCAUUUAAAUAUUGUAUGGGUACCAAAAAAGGUUAUUAUUUUUUCUUUUCCUAACUUGAGGAACCUUUCAUUUAUGAUUAUGUAUUUUAAAGUGAUGUGACAGCCAAAGAGUAUUAUUAUAUUUCCUUCUUCUCUCUUAAUUUUAACUUUUAAGAUUAUCACGAUGGCAUCCAAUUGAGGAAUAUCACACCUUAUUUUCAGUCCAACAACGUAUAAGAAUGACUUUGAUAGUUAGGUCGAAAAUAUUUUUUUCUUAUCUUACUUUAAAUCCUAUUUUUAUUUUCAUAUCAUAAUAUUAUUAUACUUAUCAUUUUCAUACUCUUCAAUUUAUAUUUCUCUUAAUGGCCUCAUUACCACCGAAAGAGCAAACUAUGAAAAAUACUUUGGUGGACAAUGGUUCAAUUUCUGGAGAGAGCGUGUGAUGGAAUAAGGUGGUAAGCUCAUCUUUUAUCUCGAAAAGUCAUCGAAGAACUAGCACGUUCGAGUUGUUCCAAAGUAGAUCUUUGAUACUGAACUAUUUGAACUUCUACUAUUUUGACGUAUCGCUUUGGACUGUAAUCGUAAACUAUCUUGACUUUGGGAUGUCAUUUGUUCUUUUCAUUUUGUCUGAUGUAAAUAUUGGCAAAAAUCCCUUUUUGGUUAGUCUAUGACACUUGCAGUCUCUUUUAUAAACCUAACUAUUAUGUAACGUUAAUCUGCAUAUUGUUGGUUCCUUCAUUGGUUCCAAUUAGUAUCAUGUUAAUUAUAACGUUGUUUUCCUAAUCUCUUGAACAAAAUAGAACAUGCUCUUUUCCUACAGCAAAUCUUUAUAAUGCUUUGGUAAAUGUUUUAGAAAUAUAUAUAUAUAUAUAUAUAUAUAUAUAUAUAUAUAUAACAUCUAACUAACACUGCAAUUUGUUUUGUACCUAUCACUUUUCAAAUGAGAUAUCAAGGACAUUUCUAAAAGGAACACGGAAAACAAUCACACUCAUCGACUAACAAGCUAAAAAAGGUAUAAGUGUCGGCAAAGAGAGCAAGUUAUGAAAAAUACUUAGGCGGCCAAUGGUUCAACUUUUGCCGAGAACAUAUGUUAGAGGUAGGUGAUAAGCUAAUUUUUGACCUAGAGAAGCCACCUAAAAAUAUGCACGUUCAAGUCGUUCCCAAAUAAAGACUUUGUGUUCAUGAUCCGCACUUUCAACAUAUCACCUUAACUCUAAUCCCUAGACUAGAUUAUCUUCACUCACUGAUGCUACUUCUUUGCUUGAUUUCAUCUGUUUUAAAUAUGGGUAUCAAUCCUUUUUUGGUAACUCUAUAACAACAACACUCUUUUUUAUAAUUUUGGAUAAUAUGUAAUCAUAAUUCACACAUCAUUGUUUUUUUUUUUUAACAAACAAAAAUGGAUUAUAUUAACACAUCAUUGUUUUCAUAAUUCACACAUCAUUGUUUCCUUUAUUGGUUCCAAUUAUUUUCUUCCUAAAUAUUAUGUCAAUUCCUAAUCUCAUAAACUGAUUAUAUGCUCUCUUAAUCAGUCCAUACAUAUUUUAUGAUGAAUCACAAUGUUCCGUCAUUUUAACAUCUCUUCUUUCGAAGAAUUUUUUUAUCAAAUACAUUUCACUAAUAUAUUAUUUGAGUAAGAUAUCUCUCUAGUUCUCAAAAAAAUUCAUAUCAUUUAUUGAUAUUAGUUUUGAACUCUAAAUUUUUUGACUUUUUUCUAGCCUCUUAAUUGUUAAAACUAACAAUGCAAGAGGCUAAUAUGAAAAUAAAAAUUCGAAUACAAAGUCAUCGCAAUGUUAAUAUGUUAAUUUACAUAAAAGUGUGAAUGUGACAUGUUGAAGUUCUUCAUGAGACCAUGGGAAAUAAUUGUCACAUUAAACUGUUGAUAUGGCCAUUUGGUAUAUAAAUGUAUUAGGGUGUCUUGUGACUAAAUUUGGACAAUUGUAAUAUCCUAGUCAUUCAUUUUGUUUGAUAUGAGACUGUUUGGGGCUUGAAAAGAUUCGUUAAUACUUGCUUUUGUCGUUGUAGGGAGUUGAUGGUACAUGAUAUACUUAUGUGUUGAUAGUCGGUUUAUUUGUCAAAUUAUAUACCCAAUUGAUGCUCUCAAACGCUUACAAUGUUAUUGAUUAUAACUGAUUAGGGUUGAAUCAAUUGUAUCGUUUUUAUUGGGUGUGUUAUCUGUUAAUCUUGAUUUACAUGUAUGGUCUGUUUUGCAUAAUACAGACCACCCCCCCACCCCACCCACACACUCGCAAAAUAAUAUGUAUGAGAACUUGUCAAAUGAUUAGAGUAGGUGUCAACUUAAUUGGAACUAGUCAAAUGUAUGAGAACUCAUCAAGUAUAUUUAGAUCUAUUAACUUUUUUUUUUUUUUUUUUGGGUAGAUAGAUCUAUUAACUUCUAACUAACAUGUAAAUAACUUUUAUAUCUCUAAUAGGUAGGUCAUUAAAAAUAAGUGAGUUUUGCUAAUAUAACACAUUAUAAUUUUGGGUUUAGGGUUAGGUAGGGCUGGAAAUAAGUCGAGUCGAGUCGAAUUUGUUUGAGCUCGGUUUGAUAAGAAUUGGUUCGGCUCGAAACUCGACUCGAGUUCAAAACGAACCUUUUUUUGGGCUCGAGUUCGGCUCGUUUAAAGUUCACGAGCAACUCGGUUCGGCUCGUUAGGUUCAUUUACUCGAAUCACAUAAUUUUAAAAUUUAUUUUUUUAUUUAAAAAAUUGCAUAUUUUAAACCUAUUAAUAUUUUCAAAAAAAUUAUAAAUAAAAAAAAAAACUAAAGUAAAGAGGACUCAGCCAUUCCACAACCGUGAAAUAAUAGAUUGUCCACCUUCGUAUCAAAGAGUAGCAAAGCCGCUUCUUUUAUAGACAAGUAUUGUUGUAUCUAUCUCAAAUACUUUCGAUGUGGGACAAAAACAAAGUAGUGCAGCUUUGCUAAAACACCAUGGCACUACAAGCAACAUAUUUCCAUUGCUAAAAACUAUCCAAGUCCACUCUGUUACUAUUGUUGUUUUAUAUUGCUUCUAUUAUAUUUUACUAUUAGUUAAAUACUAUUACCUAGCUUUGUGUGUGUGUGUGUCUAUAUAUAUAUAUAAUCGAGUCAGUUCGUGAACCAAACGGGUCGAACUACAUAUAACUCAAGUUCAACUCAUUUAGUUAACGAACUUAAUCUUUAGCUCAAGUUCGGCUCAUUUGGUUCAUGAACCAAGUUCAACGAACUAAUUACCGAGUCGAGUUCCGAACUUUAUUCGAGUUGUAUCGGUUCAUUGUCAGCCCUAGGGUUAGGGAAAUCAAUAACUGUUAGCAACGUCGUUUUCUCUUUUUUAACUGAUAAAACGUUUGGUCCUUUUUUAACUGUAGUAAUUAUAGAAGGGAAACAAAUAUUUAAAAGACUGAUGCUAAAAACUAUAUUUGUGAAAAUUUCUCACGACAUAGGGUGUUUAUUUCAAGUUAUAUUUAUAGAUUCUUGGGAUUAAAAUCAUAAAAAUGUACACGCAUAUGUUUGUUAUAAGUUUACUAAAUUUUAUUCUCGGAUAUAAAAUGUUUCUGAAAAUAGAAAAAAGAAUUCAAAGAAAAAGGUUGGGAAUAAAGUUUCCAUAAAGAUGUGAACAAAUUCAUGUGUAAUUAUUAUAGUCAAUAUUUUUAAGGUUCUUUGUAAUAUUAUAAUGUAAAACAAACAUAUUUUUUCAAAAUACCUUAAAAUAAAAUUUACAUGUGUAUAUUCCAAACAAUAUUAACUAGUGCUCCCGGACACUAGUUAAGAAAAACUAAUGUAAAAACUUUGCAUUGAGAAAUGGUGAAUGUUCAACUUUAUGAAAGUUAAAAAAUUGUUGUAUUUAAUAAAAAAAUUCUAUUUUUACAACAUCCUUGACUAGUACCUCAGGGAUACUAGUUAACAUGACCCAUAAUUUAACAUGGUCAAAAAGAAAAUCUCUUUACUAUCAUGAACGGUUAAAAAGAAAUGAAAAGUUAUGAAUAAUUAAUCAAAGGUAAAAAAAAUAAAAAAAAUCUAUUUUACAUCAUGAAAGGUUGAGAGAUUUUACUAUCCUGAAAGGGUAAAAAACUAUUUUAUUAAUGAUGUGAUUGGACUCAAAUAAUUAAUGAACUCCACCAAAAAAAGAAUCGUCAUUCUAGAGAAUAUGACCCCUCCCAGGGAUCACAAAAAAAUAAAAAAUAAAUUCAUUAUUUAUAAUUUAUAGAAAAGCAUGAACUUUAUACACUAUAAAUAUCAAAUCAUAUUCUAUUUUAUACAAACAAAGUGAAAACAAAUAUGGCUGAAAUUCUCAAGGAUUUUUAUGCUAUGAAUUUAUUUAUUUUCUUAAUUAUUUUACCAGCAAAAAUUCGUGGUGGUAAGCCUUUUUUUUUUUUUUAUCCUUUUCACAUUUUCUUAUUAGUUUGUACACAAUCUUUUAUAAUGUUUUAGUUACAUUAUGUGGUGGCAUUUAGGGUGGGUGAGGGAAAGAGUUUUCUACUAUGGGAAAGUUUUUUCUUACCAUAAGAUUAAAGAGGUGCACAGAUUUUAAAAUGGUCUCUCCACACCAUAUAUUUUCUUCCAUCAUCUUCAACCCUUGAAAAUACAAAUCUGCAAUUCACUCACCAACCCAUAUCCAUUUAAAAUCAAUCUUUUUUGUUAAGAUGAUUUUGGUCUAACACAUUGAAUGAAUUUUAGAGAUACCAAUAAUUUCGAAAAUCGCCCUUUCAAUACCCUUUUAACUUCCUUUUCUAUUUCAUAAGCAAGCAUGACCAUUCCUUAAAAUAAAAUAAAAAAAACAAGCAUGGCCAUUUUCAUUUCUUAUGUGUAUCGUGUAAGCAUGUUGUUUUCACUUCGUACUUCGUAUGUGUAACGUUGUUCUGUUUGCAACAUAUGGUGUGUGUACUGUGUAAUAUAAUAGAAACAAAAUGAUAACCCCAAGGAAAGGAAAUGUGCGGAUCUAAACAUCGUCGGAGAGAGGUGCAGAUCUACACACCGGCGACGAGAGGUGCGACGGUGACGUCGACCAUAACGACAACAUAUUCUUACUUUGAUUCCAAAACUCCAAAAGGAUGGUUUGACAUGCGGUCACUAAGAAAAUAGAACGAUUAUUAACUGAACAAAUGAUUUCAAAUACAAUGGAGAGUAUUUAGCUGAUUGAAAAGUCAAAUAGUAAGAUGUGUAUAUUAGAAUUUCGAAAAUUCCUUCUGUUCGUGGCUGAUUUGCAGAUUUGCAUGAGGUUGAAGAAGAUGUGGGGAAAAUAUAUGGUGUGGACAGGUCAUGGUAAAAUCUGUGCACCUAUUUAAUCUUAUGGUUAGAAAAAACUUUCUCGUGGUGAGAAACUCUUUCCCUCACCCACCCUAAAUGCCACCACAUUAUGUUACCAUCUCUUUUCAUUACAGAGGUUUUUCAGCGUGUAACUGAUGACGGUUGUCCAAAACCUGUGAACCAUUUAAGAGUUGUCAAGUGCAUUGAACACAUAUGUGAGUAUGGUUAUAAUUAUCGCCCUGAUUUUGCAUCCCAGAUUCCAGAGAGUACAAAAAUGCCCCGUAAAAGAGAAUGAGUUAUUAUCCAAGAAGCUUAAAAAUAAGGUGGCAUUUACAAUGCACAAGACACAAAUUUGUGCAUCAUGCACAAAUUGUUUGAUGAAUGAAUAAUAGCCAUUGAUAUAUUAUUAAUUUAAAGGAACGGCCCAGAUUUUAUGAUGGCAACCUUCUCUUAACUUAUUGGUGUUAAACAUAUCACAAUAAAUUUGACCUCACAAAGAAUAUUUUAUGUACAUAAUUCCAUCCCUACAUACCAUUGAAAAUUCCUAUUUUAUCCUCUUACCAUUUGAUUUCAUAUGCAGUCUACACUCAAUCCUGUUUUUUCAUCACCAUCUUUCGACAACAACCUCUCAUAUCCUUUUCCUGUCUUUCUCUUCCAGAUCUAGCUUUAAUUUAAUUUUGAAUUUUGAGUUUUAAAUUAUAUUCUUUUUCCUAUGCCCUAUUUAAAUUUUAACAAAAUCAAAAUAAUUGUUCUACUUCCACACAUUCAACAGAAGAGGAGCAUUUUGAAGAGAGAGACCACCACUCACUUAUGACCCAUAAAUCUAUAGCUUUGAAAGAGGUGGAAGAAUAAUCCGUCAAUGUUGAAGAGAGUGAAUAAAGAAAAGAUGUGAGUUGUUUGAUUUGUUUGUAGAGAUGACAUUGCAAAAGGGCUUAUCGGUUCAGAUUUGAAAAAGAAAUAAAUUAUUCAACCUUCAAAAGUGGGAAAUGGAAUAAAAUCGAACACAUUUAUUCAUUGAUGAUGAUCUUUUUAGAGUUAAUGGACAAAACGAUUUUGCUGGUGAAAUGAAUGCAUAUCUGAAAAUAUGAAGAAAAUAGAGGCAUACAGAUUGUUUUUCAAAGCAGAGGUGUAUAUGAAAACUGGAAAAUUAAUUAGAGAAACAAAUAUCUGAUAUUCUGCAUUAAUAUAUUAAAAUAUGAUUUGGGAUUUUUUUAGUUUUUUAACUAGCAGGUGAUCAACUGCCAGCUGUCCUUCCAAACCAUAUUUGUGUAUCAUGCAUAAAUUUGUGUCUUGUGCAUUGUAAAUACCACCUAAAAAUAAAUGUGAAAUAUACCUUAUGAUAGAAUAUUUCAAAAGAUGUCAUCUAAAUAUUGUAUGGAUACCCAAAAAAGUUAUUAUUUUUUCUUUUCCUAACUUCAGGAACCUUUCAUUUAUGAUUAUAUAUGUACUUUAAAGUGAUGAUAAGACAACCGAAGAGUAUUAUUUAUAUUUCCUUCUUCUCUCUCUUAAUUUUAAGAGUAUCACGAUGGCAUCCAAUUGAGGAAUAUCACACCUUAUUUUCAGUCCAACAACCUAUAAGAAUGACUUUGAUAGUUAGGUCGAAAAUAUUUUUUUUAUCUUACUUUAAAUCCUAUUUUUAUUUUCAUGUCAUAAUAUUAUUAUACUUAUCAUUUUCAAACUCUUCAAUUUAUUUUUCUCUUACCUUUUAAUGACAUCUAAUAGUAGCCAAUUUUGCUUUUCUAAACUUGCGAUUUACUCUAGUCUCUAGCCCACGUGUAUAUUUGUUGACUAAAAUUCCCCAAAGUGUAUUCAACAACCACUGAGAUAAUUAUUCCAUUGAAAUUCAAAAUUUCGAUCGUGUUUUUUGAAGAUCAAUUGAUCAAAUAUUUAUAAAGAUGAAUCACGAAAAUAUCUUUUUCUAUUUUACUUUUUUACGGGAUCACCAAAACACUUUGUUUCUAUAUUUUAGACCAUCGGAUUGUCUAAAUUAAAUGGCUGAGAUUUAAUGUAAGUUUUUUGACUUUCAUCUGGUGUCAAUGGAUCCUAACUCUAAAAUAAAUAGAUAUUUCAAUUGUUUGUUGGUUAAUGGAGGGAAAUUAUUAUUUUUUUGUGACUAAACGGAGGCGUACUUAAUGAUAUUUGGAUCUGUAGAUAUCGAUAUCUAUUAAUUAGUAAAUUACAAAAAAUACAAUAUUGCUUAAAUAUAAAAAUUAUCAACAUCAAAGAAAUCCUAACAUAAUUUCCUAAUAUGUAUUAUUUUUUUCAUUAAAAAAUUUAUUUUAAAAUUUAAAGUAUAAAAUAUAAAGUAUUAAUAUUUUUAUGUUUAAUACUCUUUUUUGUAACAAAAGAGAAUGAAUAAAUUUUAUGUAAUCUUUUUUUUUUUUUUAUUAAAUUAAACUUAUAUCAUUUCAUUUCUCACAAUAUGGGAAAUACAAGAUGGAAUCAACUCGAAAACUUGAUGAUUAGCGUUAUAUUGUGACGCCCUUGCUAAUCAAUGAGCAACAUAAUUAGCUUGUCUCCUAACAAAAUUUAUCUCAAAGUUUGGAUAUUGAAUUAAAAGUGACCUACAUAGGCUUAAUAAAUUGCCGAAUUCAGACUGACUCACCGAUCUAUCACCAAUGUCGUCUACCACUAGCUUGCAAUCCAGCUCAAUUGACACUUUUGAUAACCCCAACUCACCAAGCCAAAUUAUAGCUUCCUUCAACCCAAUUGCUUAUGCUUCCAUUGGAGGUUGACUUCCUUCAAACCAUUUGGUUAGCGCUUUGAUAAAAUGUUCCCGAGUGUCUCAAAUACACAUUCCAAUACCAAAACGCCAUUGAUCAUAGAAAAUGGCAGCGUCCACAUUACACUUCACAUAACCCUUUGCUGGUGGUUUCCAAUUCGUAUCCGUAACAAUCUGUUGUACAGCAGGAGUUGCCUUGUUGACUCGAACAGAUAGCCAUUCCCUUAACGUGUCCCGCGCUAGCUGAAUGGAUAUGUGUGGCUCCUUCACCUCGUCAUGCCACACCUUUUCGUUACAUCUCCGCCAUAGACACCACAUGAUCAUGAUGAUAUAUGUCACCGCAUCUUUGGAUAACCUGCAGAAAAUUGAAAAGAACAGGUCUGCAAAAUCAGCUGCAUUGUUGACAGAACCAGCAAUUGUUUCCCACAGUCCCGCUUCCAUCCAGAUUUGUUUUGCUUUCCCACAUCCGACAAAAAUGUGCCAUUCAUAAUUAAUGUUAAUCUUUGGAUAUAUAUAACACGUUAUAGCUAUUCAAAAUACAAUAAAAAAAUCACAACAAAUACUGUUGGGUAAGAUUUUGGCUUCUUAAAAAAAUAUCACGAUAAAUGUUUUUAUGAGUUAAAAACUAUUUUUUUAAGAAGGCAAACUGACUCUUUUAAAUUGAAAACGGAGAUACUUUAAGAUGAGUACACUCUAAGAUUCAAACAAACAUCACCGGAUCAUCUCAAGUGGGAUUAUGAGUUAAAAUUAUAUUUAAUUACUACAACAAAGUUGAUAAAUCGUCUUUCUAUGGAAGAACUCCUAUGAUUUUACCACCACAAGUUGAUACUUGACAAGUCAAAUCAUCAAAGUGAUACUUCGCUAAUAAAUUUUUCUUUUCUCAAAAAAGUUUAUUCUCUUGUUACGAAGAUUUAGACAUUCUUAAUCAAGAAAAUCACAAUUGCUUGUGGGGAGGUCUUGUGUUGGAAUUUGAAAGUUGAUUUUGUAUUGAUUUAUGUCGGACGAAGUGCGGAUGUGGUGGAAGGUUGUGGCAGGGGCUGAUAUGGUUGUUGCUCAAUUGAUCCUAGUUAUGGGUUUUGUUUGCUUGUUGUUUGGAAAUCAUAUUGAUGUAGCGGCUUGUGGAUGUGGACAUAUUUUAGUGGUCUUUUAGGUUGGGGGUUGGAGCCAUUGUUAAUGUUCAUGAGAGUUUGUGCGGUUUGAUUUGGUCGUUUUACGUAGUUGUUUGGGUGUUGUUGGUAGCUCUUUGUGGGUGAUCUAUAUGGAUUUUAUUUGCGAGUUUUUAUACUCGAACUUUGCUUUGUCUAAAUCUCUCUUUUUGGAUGUUCCGUAUAUGUAUGACAUUGUUGAUUAGUAAAUCUUUUUCACUUGUCUUUGUUCGUUUGAAGAAGAAUUUGUUAUUAAUACUUUUGUCUAGUAAGGACUAUAUGUGAUUAUGUUCCCUUAAUUCUUUAAAAUUUUCAUUUACCUCGUCCAAACACACUCUAAACAUUAAAGUAUAUAAGUCAUCUCAUUUAUAUAGUUGCCUUAACAUAUACAAUAUAUUACACAUGUUUGACAAACCCUUUAUAUAAUACCAAACAUCUAUUUUUCAAUCUAACGUGAGACUAUACUCUCUCCUGAUAUACCAACAAUAAUAUAGUGGUGAUAUAUGUUUUUGCAUAGCAACGAUGCGGCUUUAAAGUUAACAAUUGGUAAGUAAUUAAUCAGUACCAACAAAAAGAAUGAAGACUUUUACUUUUAUUUCUAAAAACUAUGGACAUUUCAUUUUCACACUCUUAAAUGAAUUAUCAUCAUUUUGAAAUUGAAAAUGACUAGUUUGAUCUUUCCCUUUUGUAGAGAGCAACAUCAAUGUGGGUGAGAUCUUAGAGGAUACAUCCAAAUUUCGUGGGACUUACUCACAAGUUACAAGGCAAAAACUACAUAAUAUAGCAGUAAUUGGAGGGAGCUUUGUGGUGGUUUAGCAACGUGGUUUCUCUUUUUUCGUUGAUAAAACGUUUGGUCCUUUCUUUCUAUUUAACUAUAGUAAUUAUAGAGGGAAUACAAAUAUUUAAAAGACUAAUGCUAAAAACUAUAUUCGUGAAAAUUCGAGUGAAAAUCUCUCACGACAUAUAUCAUAGCUGUUUUUUUUAUUCAAUGGUUUUGUCAAAAAAAAAAAAAAAAUAACACAAAACGUUACACUUUGUGCUUAAACAUAUUCUUAGGAUGCAUUUGAUUCGCUAAAAAAUGAAAGACAGGACAGAACAAUUUUAGUUGUCCAGUGUUUGAUUUGUAAAACUGUUUCAGUACAGGACAAACUGGAGGCAAUAAACAGGACAAAAACUCAUAUUUUUGUCCCUCACCAAACCACAACACAACUUUUUGUCUCACGUACAAAUUGUCUAAAAUACUAAAAUAACAUUUUGUCCCCCAAAAAUCGUAUAAAACAUAAAAUUACUCAAUGCCAUAAAAUAUUUGUCAUGUGUUGUUCUGCCUUGUGUUGUACUGUUCUAUUUUAUACUGUUCUGUCCAGUACUUACUGUUUUGUAAACCAAACACACCCUCAAUAUACAAUGGUGAAUUAUUCUAAUAAAUAACUUUAACAUGGUCAAAAAGAAAAUCCCUUUACUAUCAUGAACGGUUAAAAAGUGAUGAAAAGUUAUGAGUAAUUAAUGAAAGGUAAAAAAUAUUCUAUUUUACUUCAUGAAAGGUUAAGAAACUUUACUAUCAUGAAAGGUUAAGAAAUUAUUUUUUCUUUUUUUUUCAAUAGUCUAGUGGGUAGAUCACAUACUUUUUAAAGUGAUUAAGAAACUAUUUUAUUAAUGGAGUGAUUGGACUCACAUGAUUAAUGAACUUCACCAAAUAACAAAUCGUUCAAAAGAAUGCGAUUUCAAUUUUUGUGUGCAAUAACUCUUGAUCAGGCCAUAUUUAUUUUACGGCCGAACGUUGAAUUACUAUGACCCCUUCCCAUGAAAAUCAGAUGGUUAACAAAAAAAAUCAUUAUUUAUAAAUUACUCCAUAGAAGAGCAUGAACUUUAUACACUAUAAAUAUCAAAUCAUAUUCUAUUUUAUACAAGCAAAUUAGAAACAAAUAUGGCCGAAAUUCUCAAGUGUUUUUAUACUAUGAAUUUAUUUAUUUUCUUAAUUAUUUUACCAGCGAAAAUCCGUGGUGGUAAGCCUUUUUUUUUUUUUUUUUUUUAUCCUUUUCACAUUUUCUUCUUUACUUCAUAGUUCCGUACAUAAUAUUUGAUAAUGUUUUAGUAACAUUAUGUUAUCAUCUCUUUUCAUUACAGAACAUAUUCAAUGUGUAAUUGAUGACGAUUGUCCAAAAUCUUUGAACAAGUUAUUAAUUAUCAAGUGCAUUAAUCAUGUAUGUCAGUAUGUUGGUAAUCUCCCUGAUUUUGCAUCCCAGAUCCCAAAGAGUACGAAAAUGCCCUACAAAGGAGAAUGAGUUAUUGUCCAAGAAGCUAAAAUAAAUAAAUGUGAAAAUAUACCUUAUGAUAGGAGAUAUUCCAAAAGAUGUCAUUUAAAUAUUGUAUUUGAACCCAAAAAAAAAAUUCUUUUCCAAAGUUCAGGAACCUUUCAUUUAUGAUUAUGUAAUUUAAAGUGAUGAUAAAGACAACAAAGUGUAUUAUUUAUAUUUCCUUCUUCUCUCUUAAUUUUAGAAGUAUCACGAUGGCAGCAAUUGAAGAAUAUCACACCUUAUUUUCAGUCCCGCCACCUAUAAGAAUGACUUUGAUAGUUAGGUCGAAGAUGUUUUUGUUACCUUACUUUAAAUCCUAUUUUAAUUUUCAUGUCAUAAUAUUAUUAUACUUAUCAUUUUCAAACUCUUUAAUUUAUAUUUCUCUUGC